AUCAGCUGUUGGUGGUGUAACUGCCUACCAAGGCAACGACGGGUAGCUGGUCUGAGAGGACGAUCAGCCACACUGGGACUGAGACACGGCCCAGACUCCUACGGGAGGCAGCAGUAGGGAAUCUUGCGCAAUGGGCGAAAGCCUGACGCAGCGACGCCGCGUGCGGGAUGAAGGCCUUCGGGUCGUAAACCGCUUUCAGCAGGGACGAAAUUGACGGUACCUGCAGAAGAAGGCCCGGCCAACUACGUGCCAGCAGCCGCGGUGAUACGUAGGGGUCUAGCGUUGUCCGGAAUCAUUGGGCGUAAAGAGCUCGUAGGCGGUUCGGCAAGUCGGAUGUGAAAUCUCCACGCUCAACGUGGAGGGGCCAUUCGAUACUGCCGUGACUCGAGUCCGGUAGGGGAGUGCGGAAUUCCCGGUGUAGCGGUGAAAUGCGCAGAUAUCGGGAGGAACACCAGUGGCGAAGGCGGAACUCUGGGCCGGAACUGACGCUGAGGAGCGAAAGCGUGGGGAGCGAACAGGAUUAGAUACCCUGGUAGUCCACGCCGUAAACGUUGGGCACUAGGUGUGGGACUCUAUCGACGGGUUCCGUGCCGUAGCUA
rnacentral:rRNA from 1 species